UGAUCAAAAUCCUAGAUCUGACUAUGGAUGUUGCAAUUAGUGUUCACUGACUUACAAAGCCAGAAAUUGUGCUCUAUGAUUUGACAAGGGGAUUUCAUCGUAACUGUCUUACCUUCAAUCACUGCUAAUGGCUCUUCUGGCAUAAAUUCAGAAAAGGCCUGAGACAGAAGAUAUUCCACAGAGAGUUUAUCUAUAUGCAUCGGCUGUUGUGCACGUAUCUAGAUGACAAGAAGUUCUGAAGUUAGUGAGGCAGAACAAAGGGAAAUGAAAACGUUAUAAUAUGGAUGAACAGAGGACCUUUUGGCAUGCUACCAAGCGGCAAGCAUAACUAGACUGAAUUUAUAACCCUGCUACAGUUAUGCAAGAAAAAAACCUGACAACAUACGUACACAGCUCAAUAUUCCUAGGAGUUCGACCUGUUUGUGUUAAAAAAAUUAAGAAGGCUGAUGCAUAAACCACCUCUUCUAAAUUUAAUCAGUCUGGGACAAUUAAAGUAAUUUUAUGUUUUUUACUUCAGCACUCCUCUGAAACUAGAGCAUCUGGAUAACUUUAAUUACUGAUUUGGCUCAGUAAAACAGAAAAGAAAAAUCUAUAUGUGUAUGAUUAGCAACUUCCUUUUUUUCAUUGGGAUUUCCUUCUUUGCCUCUCUUUAAUAGCCAUUCUUUUGGCUUCCUGGCAGUUUCCUAUAUUGGUUAAUAUAAUAAAAAGGCUUAAUUGGAAUAAAGAUCACUAAAUGAGGUACAAAUGAAACUUGAAAGAGUAGGAUGUGCAAAAUAUAUUGUGUUCAUUUGUUAAAUAAAAUAAUUUUCUGUUACUCCCAACAGCUCUGUUGAUAAUAAUUAGCGAAAAUGUGUAACAGCAAGAUUUAUGCAGAAGAAAUUUGAAUCUGAAAAGAGACAUCUCUUGAAAGGAAAGAAAAUGAGGGAUGGUGAUAGCAUAAACUAAGGUUGCUCAACCUUUACGUUCCUUCUUUUUUUCUUUCUUUCUUCCUUUCUGUGCAUCUCUGGGUGAUUUGGGUCCAGCACACCUGUGUCCUUGCCACUCGGCUUGACAUGGUGUGGCAGAAGCAUGUAGCAGCACUGGCGCUCAUGGCAGCCUACCUUAUGUGGUGCACAAUUUAUAAGCCCCACAUCUCCAAAAAGACCAGUGACCUCCGGUUGCUACAUGGGAUACUGGCCACCAGCACUCUCGUCCGCCAUGUGGACCCAGCUGCGUCAGCAGCCUGUCCCUUUUGUCUGGGGGAAGUGGAGGAGGACCUUAACCAUUCCUUCCUCAGAUGCCUUCCUGGCUGUCACAGCUGUUUGCUGCCCUCAGCUCUUUGCUUGAGGUGCUAGGUUUGGCCUUCCUGGGGACAACUUACUUGUACUCCCUCCCCUACCAGGCAGCCAAUGCGGGUAUCAGCUGCCUGGCCAACUUCUUACUUUGCCAGGCUAAGAUAGCUAUCCUCAAGAGCUGCAGGAACUGGCUUGCCCGGGGCUAGCUCAGACGAUGCCCUGCAGCUCUUCCAGUUUUUAGUGUGGGCAUGCCUGUUGCUGGAGUUUGAGCACUCUGUCCUCCAGCAGACAGUGCCCACCUUCCAGGCAUGUUGGGCAAUUCAGGGGGUGCUCUGCAGUGUCGAGGGUGGCCAUUUAGUCCUUGCACUGUGAUACUGCUAGCCCCCUUCCUGGGGUACCAGCAGGGGUCUCAGCAGCCCGAUGUUAAACUGGAUAUUUUUGUUUUUGGACUGUGAGUGCAGGGCUUGCAAGCCAAAGCCCUAGGCUCUGUGUGUUGUACCUGGGCCCGUGCGUGGGUAGUGUUUUAUUACUUUGUUGGGUUGUUACCCCUUCUUCCCCUUAAUAAACCUUCAUAA